rnacentral:rRNA from 1 species
UCUCAAAUCAGGUAGGACUACCCGCUGAACU